rnacentral:tRNA from 1 species
GCUCCUGUAGUGUAGCCCGGACAAUCAUACUGGCCUCUCGCGCCGGUGACCCGAGUUCAAAUCUCGGCGGGAGCA